UACGUAGGUGACUAGCGUUGUUCGGAAUUACUGGGCGUAAAGCGCACGUAGGCGGAUUUGUAAGUCAGGGGUGAAAUCCCGGGGCUCAACCUCGGAACUGCCUUUGAUACUGCAAAUCUCGAGUCCGGAAGAGGUGAGUGGAAUUCCUAGUGUAGAGGUGAAAUUCGUAGAUAUUAGGAAGAACACCAGUGGCGAAGGCGGCUCACUGGUCCGGUACUGACGCUGAGGUGCGAAAGCGUGGGGAGCAAACAGG
rnacentral:rRNA from 1 species